UACGUAGGGUGCAAGCGUUGUCCGGAAUUAUUGGGCGUAAAGAGCUCGUAGGCGGUCUGUCGCGUCUGCUGUGAAAACUCGGGGCUUAACCCCGGGCCUGCAGUGGGUACGGGCAGACUAGAGUGCGGUAGGGGAGACUGGAAUUCCUGGUGUAGCGGUGAAAUGCGUAGAUAUCAGGAGGAACACCUGUGGUGUAGACAGCUUACUGGACCACUUCUGACGCUGAGACACGAAAGCGUGGGGAGCGAACAGG
rnacentral:rRNA from 1 species